GUUGAACGCUGGCGGCAGGCCUAACACAUGCAAGUCGAACGGUAACAGGAAGCAGCUUGCUGCUUCGCUGACGAGUGGCGGACGGGUGAGUAAUGUCUGGGAAGCUGCCUGAUGGAGGGGGAUAACUACUGGAAACGGUAGCUAAUACCGCAUAAUGUCGCAAGACCAAAGAGGGGGACCUUCGGGCCUCUUGCCAUCGGAUGUGCCCAGAUGGGAUUAGCUUGUUGGUGGGGUAACGGCUCACCAAGGCGACGAUCCCUAGCUGGUCUGAGAGGAUGACCAGCCACACUGGAACUGAGACACGGUCCAGACUCCUACGGGAGGCAGCAGUGGGGAAUAUUGCACAAUGGGCGCAAGCCUGAUGCAGCCAUGCCGCGUGUAUGAAGAAGGCCUUCGGGUUGUAAAGUACUUUCAGCGGGGAGGAAGGGAGUAAAGUUAAUACCUUUGCUCAUUGAUGUUACCCGCAGAAGAAGCACCGGCUAACUCCGUG
rnacentral:rRNA from 1 species